rnacentral:tRNA from 1 species
GCCGAAGUGGCGGAAUUGGUAGACGCGUUGGUCUCAAAAACCAAUGGGACAUGCUCCCGUGCCGGUUCGAUUCCGGCCUUCGGCACCA